CCCCCCCGCUGACGCCAGUAGGCCCGAUUCGGGAAGCUCGGCUGCCGAACGGGGAUGGCGGAGCGACACGAGGGCCGGAGGGACCCCACCGCGGUGGGCUCACAUCUGUCGGGCCCCGUGCGGUGCUGCUCCUUGGGGAGCGGGGGGACACGCGGAGCGCUCUGCGAAGCGGCACUGACCCUGUAAUGCGUAGCGCUAAUGACUACAGUCAAAUAAACCGGGUUUUCUGCUGCUGUUUGCCUUGUAUGUAUGCGCUAUGUGAGCAGACAGAGCUGUUCCGUCCCCUGUGGUUGGUUCCUACCUGUGCCAGGGCAGCAGAGAAUGCGAGGUAUGAUAAUAGCCUCCUAUUAAACUCAAUUGAAUUUCUUUUGUUGGCUAAUUUUCAUUUGUAUUUGCAUCAUUUACUGAAUUGCUCAGACUUACAACCUUAAAGUGCGGGCUCUUCUUGGGGGAAAAAGAAAAGGCAAAGGUGUGCUAACAUCUGUGUUAACGGGUAUUACAUUUCAGAUGGGUUAAAGCAGAAAGCCCUACUAAAACAUGAAUGUCUGUUUUGAGUAACAGCUGAAUCAGAGAUGCUUUGUUUCUGAAGAAUAAGGUUCUCCAUGGUACUAGCAUUGUCUUGGCCUAGGAAGGACCUGGAGCCUGCUGUUGCCUGUGCUGUAGGGUCCCCAGGCUCUCAAGAAAGGGUAAGGCUCUGCCAGCACGUCUUGCCUCCAUCCACAUGAUGAUAACGGGGAAUAGUUGGCAUGCUGCUAAAAACAGAGAGGGUGCAACCCUGGAAUCCCCUAGCGAUGGUCACAUUGGGCUACGGAGACACAUGGAUGGAUGGAGGGAGGUUGGGAUCCUCUGACAGAUUGUCUCUGGAAAGUGGUAGGACAUUGGAAAGCAAGAUUUCAGGCAAUUUAAGGGAAAUAAACAAACCCAAAAAGAUACUUAGUUCCAACCUGAAAUUCCCUGCCUUGUACCAUGACACCAGGGCUCAUUGCAGCAGGUCUUGAAACGGGCAGGCAGUUUCCCAGAAUACUGCGCUGGGAAGGGGAGGAUCUGGAAAAGGGGAACGGCUACAUUUUUGCUUGAAAGCCCUCACCUUAUCUCUCCUCUCCAAAAUCCCUGUAUAGUUGGAGCACGUUCAGUCCAGCACCCAAGCGUUUCAUCAAACCCCAGCUUUGGCUUUGAAUUCAGGCUGGGGCUGGAACUGUUUACUGAAGCUGAAUCCCAGCAAAACAGCAGCAUAACAACGGUAAAACUGUCUCGAGAAAUACCAAGAAUAUUUUUUCCCUACUUCUGGAGCAACCCAGUGAUGUAAUACAAUGGUUUUCAGUGAUGGAAAUGGGGCUGGAUUUCAAAUGAUUUAGAAGCCCAUUCAAUAAGAGGUUGAAGCACAUGCUUAAGUCAAAACACAUGAGUGCACCAGAACUACUCAUGAGCUCAAAAGUAAGAUACCUGUUGCUGAGCUGGAGCCUUAGGGUACAGCUUGAAGUUGAGGCUAAACUAAUGUAGAGUUAGUGUUGCUGGAAGUGAUUGGUCCUGUCCUGGUUUUCUUCCCUGCAGUGGCUCAUGCUGCAGUGAGACAAAUGCUAUUGGUACAACAACAAAUUGGAAGCAACACUGUUGCUUCCCCAGCAACAUGAAGAAGUAUUUGUCUUAUAAAAACAGGAGAAGUCUCAGUUAAUACCGAGAGUCAGUGGAGAAGUGCUGGAGCCAAUUUCUGUACUAACGUGAAGUCCAUGAUGGAUUUCAUGAGCUGCAGCCUGCUAGAGAAUGAAGUAAGGGGAACAAGUAUUUUCCUUAGGUUUAAUAUGUUUGCCCAUCGGAUCGCAGCCUCUCAUUGACAGUCCAGCUUUUGACAGACGGCCUCAUUUAUCCUUGCUCAUACCCAGCUCUGCUCUGCUGGCAUUGUGCACUCCUGUAGGGCUUUUUUGGGGGUGUAGAGGUUGGAAUUAGCCUGACUUGAACAACUAGGCUGAGGAACACUGAACAGUAAAAUAAAGUCCUGAUGACAUAUUUGAACUCUUGUAGACCAUGGGUUAUCUGAUCUGCAAGGUCACUGCUAUUCUCUGGGAAAGUUUGAAAGAAUCUGCUCUCGUUUCAAGCUUAAAGGGCCCUUCUUGACAACAUGAGGAUGCAGAUUCACUUUGUCUGAACUAUAUGCAUAGGUGAAUGUUUCAGAGUAUUUACUACCUGUAUAUUUUUUUCUUUCCUUUGCAUUUAGAAGCUCAUCAAAGGCAGAGAGCGUAGAGUUUGUUUUAAUAAAGAGAAAGAAAAAUUGACUCCGACAAGACUACCAAAACCAACUGAAAUGCGGGAAGGAAAACUGUCAUGUAAAAGUGAGAGACCUAAAAAGAACUUUAAAAUUCCUCUUAAUAAUUUAAACUGUCAGCAGCAGCAGAAAUCAGGAAUUAUAUUUCAGACGCAACUUAUGCCAGGCAUGUCUUAAAAAGGGAAAGACAAAGACAAAUUGAUAAUGCCUGAAGAGGCUGUCCCUGGGAAUAAGAAGUGCAGGGUUCGGCCCUGGAAAGCCAAGCAUCUUUUCCACUCUUCUGUCUGUAAAAGAGAGGAAUGAUGGUCCUUGGUCUUAGUGACUCUAACAGAUGCAGUCGGGGAAGCAGUAGGAAAAUAACAUCAUUAAAACUUCUGUCUUUCUGUAUUUAUGAAAAGUCAGGUUUGUGCCUUGCUCUAAAUGUUUGAGGCUAUUACAGUACAAAGAUUUGGUAUUAAUAUGAUUAGGUUAACAGUAUUUUUUCUGUAAUACGUAUCAUGAAGUCCUGUCAGAAUGAAAUUCAAUGCUAAAAACAUCAAAUAAUAGCUUUCACAGACCAUUAAUGCUUAAGGCUCCAGCGUGGGAGUUAUUAUUACAAAAGGACCCUGAAAUGCUGCUAGCUCUUACUCUUACAUCAGAAUAUACCUUAAGUUAGAGGUAUUUUCCCCCCAGGCUUUGUUUGCUCCAAUAUGAUGUAAGCUCUUGCUCUGACUGUUACGUUGGUAAACAGACCGGCUUAGCUUUGUGGCUGGGUUCUUGCAGUAAAGCCAGGAUCGUGGAGGAAGGAUUGGAGGGGUUGUUCCCAUCCUCCCACAGGGAUCUGAAUGCACAAACUCUUGGCCACUUUGUCCUUGCUGGCUGUGGCAGGCAAUCGCUCCGUCUUUUCCAGACCCUCCAUUGCCUUCGGUGGCGGUGCUGUGCAGCAGGAUGGGCGGCGGUGUCCCUUGUUGGUGUCCCUCGUGCCACCAUGUGUACUGCAGGGAGCAGUGAUGGUUCAUGCCCUCCCCUGAGGGACUGCAAGUUUAAUGUCCUUAAGGAACGUGUAGUUUAUGCAUACAGUGCUGUGCAUUACCCACGCCAUUCAGAUUUCUCACCUCCCUGCAGGAAUGUGGAUUUGAAUCCAUUUAUUUGACUCCAGGUAGGUGGUAGAGUAUCUUGUGUUUUUCUCCAUGGGCUGAUCUUAUCUUGACAUAAGUCCACAGGUGUCCAUGAAGAUAUUUCAGAGCAGGAAGGAUUCAGUGCAAUGGAGUUAGACAGACUGAUAGCAAAAUGGGCGCUGGUGCCUUUGGUAGGAAUGCCUACUACUCUCCCUCAAUAAAAAGUUUAUGAUUAAUCACCAGAUUGAUUACAUUACCCUUUAAUUAAGAUCAUAAGUGCUGAAGAACUGGGACUUUGGUGUAGUUUUCCUUUGUUAUCUCUUCACCGUGGCUCUGCAAGUGUGACUUCUAAAUGCUUUAUCUGCCUAGGUCUGUAAUUUAUAGCCUGUAUUGGCCAUAAAAGAUCUUGCAUUGAUUUCCCCUUACUACAAUUGUUCCCACCCCUCUAACAGGGACCUGAGGUCACAUUCUUCCUUGCUAGUGCUUCCACAGCUGGAUCCAUUUUAAUGAAAAGCAAAAAUGUGGGUGAAAAUGUGUUGAUUUCAUUUAUAUAAGAAAGUUACCUUCCUUUUCCCUGGACCUGUUCCAUAGUUUUCCCUGGAGCUCUCAUACAGACACUUGUGGGAACUUCCACAGAAAGCUGCUGAUGCAGGCUGGGCAGCUGCCACAAGUGGUUUAUGGCCACUUUCCUCCUGAGGCAUUUGUUCUUCACAUAUCCAAAUCCUACAUUGGAUCCAGUCCUCAGUAAUGGGGAUGCUACUGCAGUGAGUGCAUCAGUGCUGAAACCCACCUGAAAUCUAAGCUGAAGCACCUUCAUAAGCCAUUCACUGCCUGGCAAGAGCCAGCCCCCAGCCAGAACAGGCUGAGACCUUUGAUGCUAUCAGUCUGGAGAUAAGGAGCAGAGUGGCCAGGCCAGCUGUUGGCUCUCACUGCAUGCCCGGUAGCCAGCCCUUAAGGCUCCUCACAGUGCUCUCAGGAAAUACCACUUUUUAACAUUUAGUUCAAGUGCAGACAGGCGUUGGAGUUGGGUAAGGAUGAGGCCACAGGUCUGUUACACCACUUUGGGGUCAAGUUUAGUACGUGGUCUCUGCCAGAUUUCAGCCACGCAGCCCAGGAACUUGGCUGGAAAUGCCACUCAGACACAGGCAUUGGUGCUCCCGUGCUUCUUCUCACCCAGAAAGCCGGGUCCUGGCCUCAGGCUGGAUCUUUCCUGCUCUUCCAGCGAGGGAAGCUGACGCAUUUAACGAGCUUUUUGCAUGCGCCAUCCCAGCUCCUCUUUGGAAGUCCUCUGCCCCCUUGCUCCAGCUGGCUGAGCCUCGCGCACCGUGGUUAUCUCAUCUCAUCUCAGCUAAGUGUUUCAGAUGCAAUUGCAUAUGGGUAUGCAGUUUCAGACUGGUUUCAAUAAUACGUAAUAAUAGUAAUGAUAGUGAUAACAAUACCUGAUGUUAUAGACGAGAAAAAUAAAACUAUUGUCUCAAAACAUAUCUGACAAGCAGUACAACGGUGUUACAUACUUGGAAGAGGGGGGAAUGGGAAUUACUUCACACGUUUCCCUCCCGUGAGCCUUGUCUAGCCUGCAUGUUACGUCGGGGAGACGGAAGCAUCUGCCUGAGAAAUGUGGCAUGAGCUCAGGUCGGGGCAACAGGCUGCCUCCCACACAGCCCAUUCAAAACGACGGCACUAUCAGAUGGAAAGAGGUUACAGACAUAGCGUAGUGUAUCAGUCUGUUAAGUAUCUUUGCAAUGGUUUCCCACAGCACUUCGCAGCUUGUUUAACGUAUCCCGAUUAACCAGUAAGCUCUGCAAGAACGUCUUACGGCCGCUGGAAAUACGAGAAGCAACCUCAAGGACCACAGCAGACGACAAACAUAAUAACGGACAGUAAGCCUGUAUCUGCUGCCUCUCCUGAAAGAUGCCCACGACUGGCAGGGUUCCAAAGUAUUGGAAGUUUAUUCCGAAUAUUUUUGUUUGAGAGCUUUCAGCAGCAGAGAUGUUGGUUGUUGCAGCGCGCCGGGUGAAACGUUGCAAAGCCACAAGGUUUCUCGCUGAGCACAGAAUAAUCAGUUAUCUGGCUGAUUCUGAGAAAAAAAAAAAGUCUUGCUCGUGAACUGAGCGUAGCGAGAUCUUUCAGUUGAGUCUUUCUUCAGAUAUGACAGCUGGCAAAUGUCUUCUCCGGUGCGCCAGCUUGGCAAGAAAGUCAAACAGAGAAAACCAGCAUUUUUUAUUACACUUUUCACCUCCUCCUCACCGUGCAUCUUUGCUUGUUUGCUGUUUGGCAGAGUUUGGCGAUUGCUAAUGGGAUUCGCCAACCUUGCAAGUGAGAAAGUUUCUCACCCUGUUAUCGAGAUCAAUGGUUUCCUCCAGUUCUAAUUGCAAAACACUUUCUUUAUCAUGAAAAUCUGAAAUUUCCAUAAAUAGCUUUCCCAAGGGCUAAGUAAGUGCUGAACAAAAACAAAAACAAAGGGAGAGGAAAUACAAUGAAAAUAAAUAACUUGAAUGCAAAGCCAUACCAAAGCCUGGAUUGUUUCAGGAGGAGAGUUUGGGAGGCACUGAGCACCUUGAGAGCUGAUCUGGGCACUGAUGAAGCUCAGCAUGGAAGUGCCAAAGCAUCCUACAAGCCCACUCAGAGCAGCCCGUCAGCUUUUCUUCUAGGGUCAGACUGUGACAAAGUCCAAGGCUGAUUCAACGCGGUAUUAAACCACGGGUUUCAGUUGUAGAGAUGAAGGAAAGACAAACUGGCAGAUGACAGAUAGCAGAAGUAUAUCUGAGGUGAAAUUUCUCGGUACCGAAAUGCUGGUAAACUAAAUGGCGCCUUUCCACAACUUAACUCCCCCAGAUCCAGAAUAGUUUACUGCGCGGGUCUCUGUCAUGCCAUAGAAACCUGACGUGCGGUAUGUCAGCAGUGAAGUAAUAUUGACAGACAAAUACGGCUAUUGUAUUCAUAAACGUUCGCUUUACAAAGCUAAGCACGUUGUAGCAAAAUAUCCUUAAUGCUAGCAUGAUAGACAGCAAUGUAAUCAUUGUCCUGGGUGAAUUGAGAACACAAACAAAAAUAGAUUAGCUAACAACUAAAUUGUAUUUAUCUUGCUUGACAGGGCUGGUUCAGUGAUGAGUCAUUCUCAGAUCUAAUGCCACCGCCAUCUCCAGUGUUGUUGGUAAUUGUUACUGCUGAGAGAAAAGGCUCUGACAGUCUGAAUGCUGAAGAAGCAAAGGAGCGCUAGUUUGCCUGGCGUGGGAGUGCUAGCAUUAGCCUGCCUGAGCCCCAGCAGAGGCAAUACACCAAUUAGCUGCAUACUUCCUUGAACUGUGCAGCUGGGGGCUCGGCCAGCUUGGGCCAUGGCAGGUCUGGUAGGGCUUUUAGGAGGGCAGAGUUGUUCUUCCAGGCAGGAUUGUGGCUGAGGGCCUGACACGUCUCCCACAUAAGCUGCCCCGUCCUCGUGCUGCUGCUGCUGCACAUCCCUCCCCAGCGCAGGCAGGGGUGAGAAAAGCCACAGCAUGGAGGGCCCAUGAACUGCCACAUGAGCUCUGGGAAGCCCUGAGACACAGCCAAGGUGAUAUGCUUACAUGGUGAGGAGGAAACGCUGGGUGAGCUUCUCUGGGGAUUAGCAGCAUUCUACACUUCUGAUGGAGAGUAAUUAUCUUUUUGAAAACAAUUGUCAGAUUACUUUUAAAUAACAAAACUUUGCAAGGAGGUAGUCAGGUUCCAGGUAGAAACGUGUAAGGGAAAACAAAUAUUCACAGCAAGAACGGGCAUGAAAAAGAUCGGGCUUGAUGCUGAUCAAGUUCACAUCUGCUUGAAGGCCCAGCCCAAAGAGUGGUGGGGCAGCAGAGCCAAACUCAAUGGGAUGGCACGGCUGCCAGCCCCGUACAGGUGAGACCAAACUCAGAUCGCUAUCGUUUUGUGGUUUUCCUUUUUGCGUAUCGACAGGGAGGAAACGUGAAAGCCAUCAACUGUUGUGCAAAACAAAACACCCUGCCUAGGGUUGGCGGAGGCCGCCUGCCUGGGACUGCUGCAGGACAUGGCCACAGAGCAGGCCUCGAUUCAGGCUGCAGCGGGCACCGCGUGGCCUUGGGUUAGUUGUUGCCAGAGCAAAUUGGCCUGGUGGCUCCUGCACAGAGCCAGCCAGCCAUGUGCGACACCAGGGCUCAGCCAGGCAUGAAAAUAUAAAAUGAGAGAAUAAGUUAAACCACCACAUUCUUGGGGGAGAUGUUAAUGGGUGACAGCUAUCCCAUACCACCUCGGCCUCUGUUCUUUCAUCAGGAUCCAUUACUUAGUUUUUCUUUGUGUGCGCGAUGAUGCUUUCAUGAAAAACAAGCCUAUGGAAAUACUGAAUAGCAGUAGGUCAGAAGAAGUGAAGGAUGCAAAACUGCAGUUUUCCCAUGGCCUGAAAAUGACUCCCUCCCUGGCUUAGGGCAGCCACAGGUAUGCUGUUAAUUUUAAGUCCUCUUGCCAGAAGGCUAUAAAAUGUCUUUUCAUCUUACGUUACAUAAGUAUCCAACAAAUAAGAAGACUGUUAUUACAAAGGCAACCACACUGAAAAAAGGUUUCAUUUACUCUGAAAACCUGCAUUAAAAGACUUCUGAUGUCUCUAUGUAACGUUUAGGUUGCUGAGCACUUGGAGAGGAAAAUUCAUUGAAUUCUUCUUUAAAAAGAAAAAGGAAUUUAACCAGAAUCUGGGAUGCUACCAGGAACCACGUGAUUGAUCUUCAGUUAAGCAUUACGAUAACGUACUCUCUAAAGAUGAGUUCCCUUAGACUUCCAGCAUACCAGACAGCUUUCUGGAAAGCUAUGCUAAUAUUUAGCACCAAAUAACAAUCAAGCAUUCUAGCAAUCAUUCUGAACUAAACAAAACAUACAUCCAUAUGUCACAGAAGUGAAAACUGUGAGGUGCUAAAUGCAUCUUAAGAUGUGAAAAUACAACUUAGGCUGAGGAUGCUCAGGAAUUGAGAGAAAGUGCCCAGAAGACCCAGAAAGGGUCCUUAUAUGUUUCAUGGUCAAAUAAAAAAUUCUGCCUGGCUUCAUUGGUUGCUGAAUCAUUGCUUUGUAUUUUCAUAUGAUUUUCUCCAGGAAAAUAAAAUGUGUUUCUGUGAGAGUAAGAUGAAGACAUCGUGACAGUGAGGCACAGGAGGAUGCCUCUGCUAAGGGGAUUCAGCAGGCAUUCAACACACCUCUUAGCAACUAAGGAGUUCUUCCCAAAGUUGUUUAGUUGUAUUAAGUCCUUCCGCAUCCUCACAGGCUGGGAGGAACUGCAUAUAUUUAAGAUAUGCUCUAAGUCAGUUAACUUCCAGGCAGUAAGGAACCCUCACCUGCUCAUUUCACAGGGAAAAAAAAAAAGCCCACAAUAGAAAACACCAUGUGCGUGUUGACAUCCUGCUUGUGAACCAAUAUUGUCACAAGCAAGAGGUGGGAAAGAGCAGGCCAAUUAAUGAAUGUGAACUGACUUACACUUAGCUAAAAUUAGGUACAAUAUCCUGUCUGAAGUUAUUACAAUUAACUAAAUAAAUACACCUUCUCAGUUAAUUAUUUUUGUAAUACCCUUGUGCCUAGAGGCCACAUUUGAGACUGAGAGCCAUCCGCACUAAGCGCUGCACGCACACCCAGUGAAGACAGCCCAGUCUUGAACAGCUUGCUGUUCACAUAGAGGAAAAGGACUAAAGAACGAAAUCAUUCUUUAUUAUCUGUGUUACAGAAACAGACCUAGAGAAACCGAAUCCUCUUGCCCAACACCAUAUAAGAGUUAUUUGGCAGGACUCAGAAGCAAAGAGAGAAGACGGGUACCCAAUUUAUUCCCUAGCACAAACAACAACGUCGUCUUUUACCAGAAGACUUCUCAUACAUGGGAUAGUUCUGGACUCUUGUUUCUCUACAUUGCAUUCAUUCUUUUUUGAAUGCAGCACAGCAUGUCAUAGCUAGAGCUGUUGAUUUCUCCUGGCUCCAUCCAUCUCACCUGUGUGAAACACAGCUAUUCUAUAAUGAUGAAUGAUGCCUUACUCGCAAAAAUUCAAGGCCUCAAGCUUACACGUCUGUGAACAUCCAGUUUCUGUUGGCUGCUUUCAAUUGCUUGAGUUCACAUUUGUCCUUCCUCAAAUCUAGAUACAUUACACCUUUUUGUAAUGAUGAAUAAGCUAUGUAGCAAAAACCUUUAAAGUAUAAUGGCAAGGGGAGUGUGUUUUUUAUAUAUAUAUAUAUAUAUAUAUAUAUAUAUAUAUAUAUAUAUAUAUCCAGAAAUAGCCUGUUCUUUCAGGUUAAAGUGGCUGUCCAGUAUAGCAUCACCUCUUGGAAAUAAGCCCCAAAAACUUACUUUUCUAGCAAACACUUUGUCUUCAAUAACUAAGCUACUGUUGUCACCAUUAGCAUCUCCUGAACAGUUUACACCACAUACUUGUGCACAUAGGAAAUAAAAUCAUCAAAGCAGAAACUGAACUGCUUGCUGGCUCCUUCUGCCUGCUGAAGAAAAAGGUUUAGACAUCCACAGAAAUACAGUGUGGCCGGUGUGUGGUGACUUGACUCUGUUUUAAGAGACCUCCUGCAGCGACAUCAUCCAGCAUCACAGCUCUAAAGCUUUGGCCUUUCCCUCCUCCGACACGAAGCAGUGCAGUGAUGUGACUAGCAGACACUUCUCAAUGUUUCUUUUCUCUUUAUCUGCUGAAAGCAGAUCUCAUAAGGAGACUGAAAAUCAUGAGGUUUUGAAGUGCUAUUCCUACAACUUUACCAAAGAACCUCAAAUUUGUGAACCAGGCUUUGACGGAUACAUUCUGCAGUCAAUCAGCUAUACUUGUGGAUUUGAGAAGGUUUGAAAAUUUGGCCCAAAAUAAAUGGUCUGUUCUUCUUGUAAUCUUAACUGUGGAGUUAGUGUAAUGAAUCAGCAAAGAAAAUUUAUUUUUCCAGCAGUUUAGCUAUUAAAUAUGACUUUCUGUGAGUCCUUGAGGCUGCCCAGAGCUUCCAACAAGUCAACCUCUGUGCCAUCUUCCCAGCCAUAAAAUUGUUUUCUGCUUCUUUGCCAGGCUGAAUGUUCUAGGAAAAGCCCAACAGACAAAUUACAGAUCGAUGAACAAAACAAUUAUUUUUCCCAAAUAGCCACAUGCCUGAAAGAAAAUCUUUCUUUAAAUAGCAUGGAUGUAUAAUUUGAAUUCAUUCAUAUUUUAUAGUUCCGGAAUAUUUGUUUACCUGAAACCCUGCAGCUUUCAGAACCAUAUUGUAAAGCAAUGAAAAAGACCAGCGGCAUUGGUGGCCUGGGCAUCUUCCUUUCUGAAGUUUCCUGGCUGACAGCAUGAAAAAAAAAAAGAGUCCUCUGUGUUUGAUGAAUGCAAGAACCAGGUUUGUAAGCAUGGAAAGAGCCUUUAGAAACACAAGUGAGGUUUUUAUCCCUGGCCCCAGUGUCAUCCAUCUUGGAAAGCUUUCUGUUUUUAUUAUUUUAAACAGGUCAGCAACAGUAAGAUGGGAAACUAGAUUUCAAAACAGAUGUCUCUGCAGCGCUUCAUCAAAACAUUGUAUGAUUUCAGACGGAAAUUUAAUAUUGGAUGCCUUGCACAUUACCUAACCUGUUGGGGAUAUGAACCCCCAGCCUCUGAAACAGCAGCACCCCUAUUUCAGCAGCCGUGCUGCUUUGUCCCAUGCCAGCUCAUCACACAGAGGCUGGAUGAGGCUCCAAGCACCCUAAUCUAGCUGUAGGUGUCUCUGUUCAUUGCAGGGGAGUUGGGAUAGAUGACUUUUAAAGGCCCCUUCCAACUCAAAUGAUUUCAUGGCUCACCACACACCUCCAGCACCCAGCUCUUGCAGGUUGGGGCUGGGGGUCUCUCCACUUUACUGCUCCCCACAGGGCACAGAUUUUGGUCCCCAACACCAUGGCUAGUCCCUUCACAUCUGGGGUACAGCCCAGUAGCUGUUUUUCUCUCUCCUGUGCCUGUGGAUGGCAGAAGCACACUCUGGCCCCCCAUAGCACUGCAUGCCGACGCUCUGUCUCUAGGAAAGUAAUUUGGGAAGAACAACAAAGACUUCUUCAGAGAACUUCCUUGCAGAGAAGGUUGUGGUUGUCUUGCUAGCUCUCAAAAUUAAAACUACGUUUCAGUCAAAAAUGCCUAUUCAGACUGACAUCAAAGGGAAAAACGUGAGCAGGUCAAGGAGUUUAAUUUCCACGGCACUCGUGAUUCACAUGUAGGGCUCGGUAAUGACUUACUGCCCACUGGCAAAAGAAAACUGUGAAUGAAGAGAGAAGUGAGGCAGACGAAUGGCGCGGUGCCACUUUCAGCCAGCAGUGCAGUGCUGUGGCCCAGCUCUUCAUCUGCAGCAGCCUUGGUGAGGAUGGCAGAGAUGCCCCUGCCCAAGGGUGUCACCCCAGGUGCCCCCCGGUGUGCUGGUGCCUUCACUCCCUGUCACCCUCUAGAGAGCAGGUUCCUUUCAGACACCUCAAGCCAGAAACAUUCGGGCCCUUCUGAAAAGCUGGGUCUCAGGCUGUGCAUCUCAAACCCUGCUCUCAUACCAGCAUUUAAACCUUUAGAUAUCUCCAGUUAAGGUGAAGGACUAUGUCUCAAGGUAUGAAGGCGGGAGGUAUGUAAACCUUUUAACAGUGUCUGUAUGUUCUCCUACUACUCCUUAUUUGCUUUUCUCAUGGGACGAUCCAACAAGGCAUUACAGGCUGUUGAUAAAUAGAUUUUCAGCCCAUUUCGUUUAACCAUUACUGCAUUUCCAUAUCAAAGAUUUUACACUUGGCAUGCCCGAGCCUAUUUUAUUUGUAAUCUUUUCUCAAAUGAGAAGUUUGGAAUGUUUUUUCAUUAUGUGUUUCAUCUGCAGCACACUGCCUUGGUGUUAUUUUUGAGAUGAGAUCUUUUACUCUACCUCGAGUCAUUCUACAACUCGUCGGCUUUUAUUUAUUCUGGCCUCCCAAUCUAACAGAAUUUCUGUGUUGAAACUUGUUGCUAUUUUUUUCCAGGGAUACACCGUACGAUGUUAAGCCUGUGCUGUGUAUCAAAGUGCAAAUAUAAACUAGUUGAUAGUCUCUGGUCACACCCUGGUAGGUGUGGCAGUUGGGAAUUUUUCACUUUCUGGCUGGAGAUCAGAAUGUGCUUAGCAUGGUUCCCCAUCCAGCAUCUUGGUCGGGAGGGGACUGGCUGCCUUCUGCAUGCAUGUUGUUUGAAGGGUUGGGAGCCACAUAGUUGUACCACUUCCAAAAGCAGAUUUUUACUUGUUUGGCUAUAUUUAGAGCUGCAAUCGGGAGAUCUGAGGGUAUGAUAAUCCAGUGCCUCACUGUCUUUCUCCUUCCUCUCGUUCUUUCUCCCUGUCACUUUAGGGGUGAGAGGAUGGACCAGCAUAGCUCUAGUGUCAGCCUCCAGCAUGGUGCAGAACUGCGCUACUCCAAGAGAAACUCCAAGGAGGAAGUGUGACUCAGAGAGCUGCAAUUCCUUCCACGGUUCCUCCUUGCUCCAGCCGGGGAAGUAAGUUACUUCAAUAUUUGUGCUGCUAGAGUACAGCUUGCUUCCGCCCCGCUGCUUGCAAGCCCCAGCUUGCAGAACGCAGAGAGAGAAUGCUCUGAGCCAGAACCUGCAAAAGGUGGCUUGCCUCCUUCUGCUCCUUGGCUGCCCAUGUGAGACAGGGACCAGUCCUGCCCUAGAUGAGGUUUCACUGCAAGGAGUCACCUCAAAGCCAUCUGCCUAAACUGGCCUUCCAGUCAUUCUGCAGAGAUGCACACCGCUGGCUGUCUUGUCAGGCAUCAUUUACAUUAAUAUCACAAACAGCACACUACCUGUGAGACGACUUCACGCUGUCUUUUUCUACCUAGAUUGCCCACUUUUCUGCUCCAUUUUCAUAGUCUUUCGUACAAUUAGACAAUCCCUAUCAGAGUAAUGCACAGCUCACCAGACACUUGCCUCUCAGAUAAUCUAUUUCCCACUGACUUAUUUUCCAUCACAAUUAUUCAUUAUUAUACCCAGAGACUGGCAAAGGAUUUGCAGGUAAUAAUUCCCUUGCCAAAACAAAAACGCUAAUAAGGGUAUUUGUAGGGAAACAUUCAUAAUCAGUGUUUCUUCAUUUGGAGUGCAAUCGUAAGGCCCAAGAACACCAACUGGUAUGUGACUUAUUUGCAAACGAUACAAAGGACUCCUCACCUGCCUCACAUACUGCUUAGCAGCAACACACUUUGGAAAACCAUAUCAAGUUCAUAGCUUUUUUUACACACACACACACACACACACACACACACACACACACCUCUUCAUGCAGAAAUACUGCACUACAAGGAGACCUUUCACUGGGGACACUUUAAAGACAUUCUGAUAUGACAGCCAAAGGUUGUGUUAACUGAGACAGUGUCAAACAAGAGUAGAUGAUGAUGAAUACUUCAGUGAUGCACAGGUCUGAAAACUAAAAAAGGUCAGAAAAACAAGAGAGGACAAAACUCAUCCAUAAGCACAUCAACUAGAUGGUCCAGGUAGGAAUAAAACCACCACGCCUGUUGCUGUACCCUCCAAGGUUACCAGGGAGAGGUUUUCAGGAAGUAUUUUGCAGUUAAAAAAAAAAAGAAGAGUAAGAAUCAACUUGAGAAAAUAGGUCCGUUCCUCACAUGUUCAGCAGCACAGAAAUGCACACUCAUAUACACAAUCAUACUUCCCGCCUGAGUGAUAGCAGUCUCCAAAAUAGCCCCUGAAAGAAGAUUCAGGCUAUUGGACCAGCUGCUGCUUUCAGUGAAGUGGUCUGAACAUAGGUCUGAAUCCCACUCUACGUGGAAUUUUGCAUACAAACAUGUAUAAAGCUCAUCCUUGUGUAAGAAGAUUUGAAUGGCACCAGUGCUAAUUCAGCUGUCCACCUGGCAAGCAUCUAGAGAGACACACACAGAAAGAGAAGCACUACUCAUUUGAGUCUUCACUCCUAGACUGGAAAUAACUGAUGUAAGUGAAGCGUGCAGUGCAAGUGUGCAAAAGUUACUUUCAUUUUGCACCAGUAUAUUCAGGAAUUUUAAAUAAGCUCAGUUAAAAUGAUCAGUUGAACUACUUUGACAGUGUUGUAAGAAAUCCUUAUGUGGCUAAUUCUUAAAUGUCAUCAGACAGCAGACCAAUUGUGCUCAAGCGCACAUUGUUACCCCAGGUAGCAGAUAACUUCCUGUGUUGAAACGAUGGCUUGAGAGUGAUAUACUUGCAGACAAGGAAAUAUCAUCUUCCAGUCCUGCUGUGUCUUAAAGUGAUCUACGAGAACUCUUUCUAGCUCGGUGCCUGUGUUUAGCCAAGGUAUUAGACGCAUUCAGGAUGUAUUAAACUCAUACACCUUCUAAAUUACAUGAUACAUGGAGUUCACACAGCUAGCUAAUUCAGUCAGAUGUGUAGUGCUAACAAUAACCAAAUAUAUCCAAUGUUACUUGUCUAGCUAUGGAAUAAAUAUGCUUGAUGGUGCUUAAUUAUACAGAUAUGUAAUGGGCACCUUCACCGCUUUCUAUAGUUAAAAUCCUGUUCCCAAUGCUUAGUAAUAUGGAACAACACUUUUGAAGUGGAGGAAUACUUUGGAAUAAAAAUCAUUCCUAUUUCACACUUUGGCACUCUGAACACAUAAUCCAAAAAUAGGGGAACGGAACCUUCAGCGGAUCAAAUCACGCACAGAACAGAAGUAUACUGGAAAUAAUUCCAUAAAGUCAACUCCCAGGACAAUGGGAUCGUCCCCAGUAAGUACUGCUUCAGCAACACUGGCUGAAUGAUUCACUGUGAGCAAUUCAGUGAAAAUAUCAGUGUUUUGUACAGCCUUCCUUUUUCUUUUUCUCCACGUUCCUCUUUCUCUUCCUCAUCUUCUUUUUAACCUUUUCUACCUCCCACCUUCUGUUGCCGCACAUGCAAGACCUAAGGAGCUAAAUGAACACAUACACAAGAAACAGAUGACAGAGCAGUUUGGCAGAAUGAAACAACCCAUGAGUAUAGAAGAUGGUAAAACAUCAAUAAUCAGUAUUGACAUCAGACAUUAUCAAAGAAAGGGUUUAUGCCCUGCAUUGUUUCAGUUCCUGAGAAUGCCUCUUGCCUUCCACAUUGUAAAAUAUAGCCCAAACAAAAUGCAGCUAAGAAAAAGGGAAAAUUCUUCUCUACAUAGGAUUUAAUACUGCACCCAUCACUGCAGUAUCUGAGAGCAAGAUAUUCUAUUGCGGGCGUGGUGCAAAGUUCAUGGAAUAUCAAGUGUUGGUAAUCUGUGCUCUGAGCCUGUGAAUGUACGUGCAAAUGGAUCAGAUCCACAGCUGGCAUCUGUCUGGCUCCAGAUCUGGUCCAGUAAGUUUCUAAAGAGUAGUUCAAGACAGACCAUUGAAAACUUCCAAAGAAAGUCCCAGAGCACAUGACAGAAAUGGCCAAGUGGGACAGCACAGUAGAAGAAAGAAAUCCUGUGGGUUCAUUUCUUUAAAGCAUAAAAGUCAUUAAUCAUUUCUAUUCCUUUCCAUUCAAAACAGCUGCCUGCCCACAUUUGCUAAGUAACUGCUUUCCUAACCACACAGAAACUAGGCUGCGGGCCCCAGAAUGCUCAUGCUUCCAGAUAUUAAUAAAUAUUUCCCUCUUUCACUGUGUCAAUGAGAGCACAUUAGCAUCCUCAGCAUCUGGUUUUAGUCGUGAAAUAAUAUGUUAAUGUCUCCACACUUGGCGAAUUCCUUCCAAAAAAAAUCCUUCUUAGUGCUUAUCUUUCAGCUGAGGCUUCAGAAGCUCAAAAGCGUGGCUUGAAAACCUCAGUGGCCUUCUACCUGUGAUGCAGGACAGCACUCUUUGUCAAGUUAGAAAUGAUCUCUUUGAUCACACUCAUUUGUUUGUCUCCUCAUAGAGCUGAGUUACGCUUCCCACGUGAGCCCUUUGCUUCAAAAAGUCCACUGUCAUCCCUACAGGCUACUGCAAUUAGUGAAAUGCCAGCCAGCAGGUGGAGACGCAUGAAAGCAAUCUCAAUUCAUAGACAGGCUGCUUUGACAUUUCAUUCCCAUAGCCCUGGCCAAGCACUAGAGCGGGCCAGAGCCAGAGAAUAUAGCUAUUGGUUUCAUGGAAAAGUUCAGAAUUAAAAUCUUGGCUGGCUGACAAACAUGUGACAGAGCAGCUUCUCCAGCAUGACUGCUGCACACAAAGCCGCACUGGCGAGCCGUCCCGGCAGCACCUUUCAUGUACAACGCAGGGAGGGGAGCCCGCUGCUGCCUUCCUCCUGACCUCGCCUCAUUCACUCUGCUCAGCAGUGCCGAGCUGUCAGCAUCAGCUGUGCCGAGCCAUACGAGGGGCCACGCAUGCCAUGCCUUGUGUGCUCACGUUUGGCCUCGUGCCGGGCGAGGGUGGGCUCUGGUGGCUCAGCACCCAGAUGCGUUCCCACCUAUCUGCUGUGGAAGCUCAGCCCGAGAUGGCACAAAACAGCUUCGCUUCCUCUGCUCCGCUCCGAACUCCUCCCACCCAGCGCUUCCUCUUUCAGAGUGGAAACAUCAUUGUAAUAGCUAUUUCUGAAACGUCCCUGCCAAAAAUCAGGAAGCACAGAGGAAUACUUCAGGGCGAGGAGGGGGAAAAGGUAUCUCGCGAGUUAUUUCGGGAGUAGGGAAUUUGUUUACAUUAGUUUGGGAGGAAAGCCGAGGCUAAUCCCGUGUUGUCUUCAGACCAAUCAUUACGUUUCCAGCUCAAGUCUCUCCGUGCUUUAGGAACUAAACUCUCUAUGCUUUUAGAGACGUGGUUUAACGGGCAAUACUGGUGGCAUGUGGGUGGUUGGACUAGAGGAUCUGAGAGGUCUUCUCCAACCUUAAUGAUUGUAUGAACUGUAAGAAGCUGCAGAAGUGGGUCUGCAGAACACCACACGUGAAUGAGUCAUCUCCAGUGGAAGUACGCCUGUGAUGGGAGCUGUGCCUAAAUGCUGUGCUGAAGUAAAGCACGUGCAUGGAGAUGAAGAAAGAAGGAAGGAGACUGUGUAAAAUUAAUAAAGCUUAGAAUCUCAGCAAAAAUCUGCAAGCGCUUUGAAUGAUUUCAGUGUUUGAACACAGCAUACAAACAAACAGCAUUCAUCAUGAAGAUACUGAAAACAGUGACCCCCUCCGCAGGUUCGGACCCCUCAACACUGUAAUAAUCUGUGGUGAGUUAUCAGAGCUCCCUUGAAUGAGAAGGACGCUUCAAACCUUGCAAAAAAAAAAAAAUCAACUUCAGUGCUUCUAAAGAAAUGCAUUUUACAGCUUUUUCCACUCUUUUGGAUUCUUCUCCUCCCCCUUCUACCUCUCUUGCACUCUUCUCCUUGGAGAGCAGAGUUUAACAUGCCAUUGAGGAGAUAGCCCGCAUGCAAAGUCCCUCAAACAUAAACACACUUAAAGAACAGAUUCAUCACAGCAGGCUUCCAAAUGUGGAAACCACAUUCCAUCUGCACCCUUAUCCAAUGGUCAUUAGCUUAGAUCUUGAAUGGACAUUACUUAAAGCAAAGAUUAUAAAAACAUACAUACUGCUCAACAGUGAUUCAUCAGCUUCCAAGCUCUGCAAUUGAGCUCAGAGUGACUCAGGCUGGGGACUUCUGGAAUGUGCUGCAGGAAUUUGCUGCACUGAGUCUGCAAAGCUGCCUUCAGAUGGUUUCUCUGGCAACUCAGGACAUUUCAUUGAACUCAGAAAUUUUAAAUCUCAGAAUUACCAAUGGAGGAAAAAUUCAUCAGCUGAUAUCAGCUGUCACACACCUUUGUCAAGAGGAAUAUGGGGUGAUCUACAUGAGCUGAAGUAUGGAAGAGUAUAAUCAAAAUAUGAAUGGUCAAGUGUUUAAACAAACGAAGCACAAGCUUGAAGCUUGCUCUACCCUCAUGCUGAAUGGCAAAUGGAACCCUGACCUGGUACUUUCAUCAGAAAAAUACAAAGGCAUUGACAGGAGCUGGUUCUUAACUACCCUGCAAGUUCAGACCUACAAAGAACCCCCAAAGUGCAGCCACACACUACCUGCAGCAAAACUGCUCCAGCUGAGUUUGGUCUUAUUUAAGUUGUAGAGCAGCAAAUGCUAGUGCUCAUCACUCACUGAGGUCAGAAGAGUCAAGGAGAACACAGCAUCAUUUACAUGUAUGAAGUAUUGCAGAAGAUCCACUUCUGCACUUGAUUCAUGUUCAAAUCAAGGCUAUUGAUAAUGUCUUUAAGACAAUAUCUUAGACACUCGGUCACAAGAGGUUAGGUAAGAUUAAAGAACUAA
ensembl:lncRNA